rnacentral:rRNA from 1 species
CACAAAGGACUUGUUCCUUGGGUGGCGAGCGGCGGCACGGGUGAGUAAUGCCUGGGAAAUUGCCCUGAUGUGGGGGAUAACCAUUGGAAACGAUGGCUAAUACCGCAUGAUAGCUUCGGCUCAAAGAGGGGGACCUUCGGGCCUCUCGCGUCAGGAUAUGCCCAGGUGGGAUUAGCUAGUUGGUGAGGUAAUGGCUCACCAAGGCGACGAUCCCUAGCUGGUCUGAGAGGAUGAUCAGCCACACUGGAACUGAGACACGGUCCAGACUCCUACGGGAGGCAGCAGUGGGGAAUAUUGCACAAUGGGCGCAAGCCUGAUGCAGCCAUGCCGCGUGUGUGAAGAAGGCCUUCGGGUUGUAAAGCACUUUCAGUAGGGAGGAAGGUGGUGUUGUUAAUAGCAGCAUCAUUUGACGUUACCUACAGAAGAAGCACCGGCUAACUCCGUGCCAGCAGCCGCGGUAAUACGGAGGGUGCGAGCGUUAAUCGGAAUUACUGGGCGUAAAGCGCAUGCAGGUGGUUUGUUAAGUCAUAUGUGAAAGCCCGGGGCUCAACCUCGGGAAUAGCAUUUGAAACUGGCAAGCUAGAGUACUGUAGAGGGGGGUAGAAUUUCAGGUGUAGCGGUGAAAUGCGUAGAGAUCUGAAGGAAUACCGGUGGCGAAGGCGGCCCCCUGGACAGAUACUGACACUCAGAUGCGAAAGCGUGGGGAGC